rnacentral:rRNA from 1 species
UACGGGGGGAGCAAGCGUUGUUCGGAUUUACUGGGCGUAAAGGGCGCGUAGGCGGCCAGCACAAGUCGGUUGUGAAAUCUCCGGGCUUAACUCGGAAAGGUCAACCGAUACUGUGCGGCUAGAGUGCGGAAGGGGCAACUGGAAUUCUCGGUGUAGCGGUGAAAUGCGUAGAUAUUCGGAGGAACACCAGUGGCGAAGGCGGCUCGCUGGCGCGAUACUGACGCUGAGGUGCGAAAGCGUGGGGAGCAAACAGG